AUGAAAAAAGCUUUUAAAUUUGUGAUGGCAGAAGACCACUCCGAUGAUAGUGAGGAUGAGGAGGACAUGGUUGGUGAACCAUUUGAUAGGAACUUUACCCUAUGUUCCCGGCAACGGCUGUCCUGUUUUGCUCACAGUCUUCAGCUAGUAGUGGGCGAUGGAUUAAAGGAGGUGAAGUGCCUUUCUCAAGCAAUGUCCAAAGUGUCAAAACUUGCAACUCUACUGCAUAGCAGCACAAUUUUCAAAGACAAGUUUGAGGCCGUCUUUGGCUAUGGCAAAAGCAUUCCAGUGGCCACUGUAACACGAUGGAAUUCCACCUUCAAGCAAAUACAGGCCAUUACGGAGCUGGAUCACACCACCUUGACAGAAAUGUGCUCUCCCGACUUUAAGAAUGUUGUCAUCACAACAAGAGAGUGGGCUCAGUUGAGAGAACUUUGUUUGAUUCUUGGACCUUUUGCUGAAGCAACUGAAUUAACAGAGGGAGAAAAGAUCAUCACAAUCAGCAUGGUUGUUCCAACAGUGCUUGACCUGAACACUCAUCUAAUUCAGAUAGAUUCGCCAAAGAGCCUCUGCAGGCCAUUGAUCAGAGCACUCCGGGAGUCACUCCAACAAAGGUUCUCAGGCAUCUUCAUUGCACUUCAUAUGGUAGAGCCUGAGGACCAUAGCUUUGAUGCACCAUUUAGUCAUGAAAUCUAUGCACAAGCUGCAAUGUUGGACCCUCGGUUUGGAAUGAGCUGGGUCGACAUGGAUGUGAGGGCCAGUGGCAGCACUGUUGCUAUAAAGAGACUAAGGGAGGAGGUGCGGAAGUCGCUGACAGACUGCUUGAUAGCUGAAGCAGAAAAGGCUGACCUGGAAAAUAUCCAUGCCAGAGAGGGACCUACAGCAGAACCACCUCAUUCUCCUCCAAAUUCCAAGAUUCCACGACUCCUGGCAAAGUAUAAAACUCAAAAAAAUAAACAUAGCACUCCCACUGAGGCAAGCAUUGUCACCCAGGUAAUGAAAUACUUUGAACACAUCCAGAGCUCUCCGAUAGAGGAGGACCCCCUUAUGUUCUGGGCUCACAACAAGGACAAAUAUCCACAUUUGCAUGCUCUUGCUCUUAAAGUGCUGUCUGUCCCUGCAUCUUCAGCACCAGUUGAAAGAGUUUUUAGUGCUGGAGGACUUCUUAUGAGGCCCCAUCGAGCAAGCCUAGGAUCAAAAAUGCUCUCAUCACUUAUAUUUCUCAAGUGCAACAAUGGACUUCUGUAAAACAGAAAAGAAUACUGAGAAUGUACAGUAUGAGGAUUAGAUGCAGAGCCAGUUCAGGUUAGGGUCCUGCUAUCCCAUACUUGCAUACAAUUCUGCACUAAAACUGUGUUGGUAAUCCCCUGGGGGAUUUUGAUUUGACUGGUACUCCUGAAUAUGUUAUAUAUUAUAUGGCCUAAGGCAAGCACACACACACGCGCACACACACACACACACACACAUAGCUGAAGAUGUUCAUGUUUAUUAAUUUGUUUUUGUUGUUGUUGUUGAAAAUGCUCCUUUGGUUUAUAACAAGUAAUAAGUUCAAGAAUGGGCACAUUAUCAUUGCAGUCAUUUUGGAGUUAAAAUGUUUAGCAAAUUUUUGUGACACCUGUGUUGCUUUUUAUUUGUUACAUUUUUCAUUGGCAGCCCAGAAUGUUAUUGUUACACUAUAAUAUUGUUAUACAAUUAUUAUUAUUAUAAAGUAGUAUAAUAUAUAUAAUAUAUUAUAUAUAAUAUUGUAUAACAGUAUUGUUACACUAUAAUAAAAAGACUGAACAUGUGAAGUUGCACUUCAGCUUGUGUGAAAUUGCUAUACCUAAAGUAAAUAAAAUGUAAAUAAAGUAAAUAAAAAAUAAUUUGAUCCUUCAGCUCCAAACUCGGUCCUAGAGGGCUGGUGUCCUGCAGAGUUUAGCUCCAACCCUAAUUAAACACACUUGAACCAGCUAAUCAAGCUCUUACUAGACACUAGAAACUUCCAGAUAGGUGUGUUAAGUCCAGUUGGAACUAAACUCUGCAGGGCAUUGGCCCUCCAGGAUCUAGUUUGGAGACCCCUGUCAUACAGAGUUGUUACUUUGCACAUGCUUUUUGAUCAUUACAAAUAAUAAUGUAAAAUGAUUUUCUUAGAAUAGGAGAUAUGCUGUCUCUCGCAUCACAUACAUUAACAAUAGUUAAGUAUGUGGGCCUUGAAAAGGAUCCUUUUUUUUUCUUUUAUUUGGACUCGGUCUUGACUUGGACUCGAAACUUUUGGACUUGGACUUGUCUUGGACUCGAACCUCUUUGGACUCGGUCUUGACUCGGUCUCGACUAGUCCUGGUCUUGGACUUGACUUGGACUCGACAAAGCUGGACUUGACUACAGCUCUAGGGAAAACAAGUUGAUAGGUUAGUUUAAGAAAUUGAUAAAUCUAAACAACAAAUGGCUAAAUUGGGAACACUGCAGGCUACCCGGGCAUUUCAGCAUUUCCCGUCAAAACGUCACAAACCACACUUUCCCGUGGACUGCAGCUGAAGCAAGCGUGGCCCCCGCUCAGCUCUCUACUUCAUUUAAAAUCACAAUAUUCUCUUUUUUAUAGCAACAUCACUGCCCGUUCCACUAAAUGCUGUUGCCUAGGAACCACCUCCAAUGGUUCACAACAUCUGGGCUCAAAUCCUGGCAAGUGCGGAAUUAGAU
rnacentral:lncRNA from 12 species